rnacentral:rRNA from 1 species
GUGACUGCGUACCUUUUGUAUAAUGGGUCAGCGACUUAUAUUUUGUAGCAAGGUUAACCGAAUAGGGGAGCCGUAGGGAAACCGAGUCUUAACUGGGCGUGUAGUUGCAAGGUAUAGACCCGAAACCCGGUGAUCUAGCCAUGGGCAGGUUGAAGGUUGGGUAACACUAACUGGAGGACCGAACCGACUAAUGUUGAAAAAUUAGCGGAUGACUUGUGGCUGGGGGUGAAAGGCCAAUCAAACCGGGAGAUAGCUGGUUCUCCCCGAAAUCUAUUUAGGUAGAGCCUUGAGCGGACACCUUUGGGGGUAGAGCACUGUUUCGGCUAGGGGGCCAUCCCGGCUUACCAACCCGAUGCAAACUCCGAAUACCAAAGAGUGAUACUCAGGAGACACACGGCGGGUGCUAACGUUCGUCGUGAAGAGGGAAACAACCCAGACCGCCAGCUAAGGUCCCAAAGUCUAUAUUAAGUGGGAAACGAAGUGGGAAGGCUUAGACAGCUAGGAUGUUGGCUUAGAAGCAGCCACCAUUUAAAGAAAGCGUAAUAGCUCACUAGUCGAGUCGGCCUGCGCGGAAGAUGUAACGGGGCUCAAAUAUAGCACCGAAGCUGCGGCAUCAGAUGUAAAUCUGUUGGGUAGGGGAGCGUUCUGUAAGCGGAUGAAGGUGAAUCGAGAGGUUUGCUGGACGUAUCAGAAGUGCGAAUGCUGACAUAAGUAACGAUAAAACGAGUGAAAAACUCGUUCGCCGGAAGAUCAAGGUUUCCUGUCCAACGUUAAUCGGGGCAGGGUGAGUCGACCCCUAAGGCGAGGCUGAAAAGCGUAGUCGAUGGGAAACAGGUUAAUAUUCCUGUACUUGUAAUAACUGCGAUGUGGGGACGGAGAAGGUUAGGUUAUCAGGGUGUUGGAUUACCCUGUUUAAGCCGUUAGGUGGGAAUUUUAGGCAAAUCCGGAAUUC